AAUGGGUUGGCAGAAUAGUGCACCUGAUUUAGGAUCAGAAAAUAAAAUUUACUUUUACCCAUUU
rnacentral:tRNA from 1 species